AACAAAAAUCACGCGUCUCCUUGUUAUUUGCAUAUGUAACAAUUACGUAAAUUGAUAUAAUAAUCAAUAAAAAAAUACUCCAUCUUAUUUCUUUAGUUUUUGAAAACAGUUUUUAAAAUAUUUAGAAACAAUUAACGCUAUUUUUCUUGAAUAAUAUUGAAAAUUACUGAUGCGACGGUUCGUAUCUUACUGACAAGAGAACGUAUUCGGUUUUUAAUUUCAUAUUCGUAGCGGGUACGACACCGUCAUGUUCCGUACGCUCCAUCUGUAUAUUAUUGAUUAAUCUGUGUUAAAUACAAAACACUUUAAUGAGAAAAUCAAUUGUAUGGAAUUUUAUAUUAUAAUAAUAUAAGACAGAAUUUAAAAUGUUUCAUUUUUGUAAACAUAAUAUUUUGUAUAAUUUUAUAUCGAGUGCUUAAUUAUUAUCGAUAAAACAGCCCUAGCUCAAUUUAGAGACCUAACAUGGUUACCGGAAGCCUCAAAAAUAAUUACUUGUCACAUAUCCUCUAUUAUCUAUGUAUCUAAGACAAAUUGACAUCGCAAUCGGUUAUUAUUCAAAAAUCCAUGACCCAUAGAUAACUAAUCAUCUCAGGUCAAUCGUGUCCAUACGCUACACUAUAAAUUUGACUCGCAAUCUCAGACUAAUUAGAUAAAGACCUGCCUCGCAAGACAUUACUUUUCUGACAAAGUAUAUGAUCAACGAUCUUAUGCGAUUAUAAACACUGUCUCUAUAGAAUCGAUGUUUCAUAGUUACAAUCGUGUCCGUCGGUUAAAAACCUCCGUAAAAAUACCUUUUUGUGUAGUUAAAUGGUGUAAAAAAACGAACAAAAACUGCAAGUUUAGUAUAUGAUAUGCUUUGAUACCUAUAUAUAUGGACCUGUGGCAUUUUACGUCAAAAUUGGUCAAGGAUUUAACUUUUUAAAGAAUAAACAAAAUUUUUUCGUAACCUCUCUAACUUAAAGAAAGUUACCUUAAUGGAGCGAGAUAGAUAUUUUUUUAGUCAUUGCUUAAAAAGGUUAGACAUAUUUUACAUGACAACAUCAAUUAUGUCAGUUGUGACCAAAUUAUCUUUUGUUUUUAGUGACCAAAAAUGGCUAUUGUUGUGGUUCCGGUGUAACGUUAUUCGAAUUAUUACGGAAAUAAUAACCAAUAAGCUUGUGAAUCGCAAAAUAAAUUAAAUUUAUACAAUGGUGAAGUGUGCAGUUGUUGCCUUCACCAACAAAACCCAAACAAAACUAGCGGGAAUUUCAUUUCACAAAUUUCCAAAAAAUCAUAAUUUAAGACAAAAAUGGCUAAACAGCAUUAACAGGCCUAAUUUCAAGCCAUCACGAUACAGCUGCAUAUGUAGUGAUCAUUUUAAGAAGGAUCACAUUAAUUUAACAUGCUUUCCGCGCCUCAAAAACAAUGCCUGUCCAUCUAUCCCGGUGAGAAUCUUUUUUCAUCGUAUUCAUUCUUGUUUGUGAUAAAAUAGGAAUUCCCUCAUUUUAAAAUAUCUGAAUACUAGCAAAUUUUAGUUUGAACAUUUAUUUAUAUAAUUUUUUUAUUGUGUCCAA